rnacentral:misc_RNA from 1 species
UACCCUUCACACCCCGCCGCUGUUUAGCCCCUCUGCUCGCCUCCACACAUACACGCACGCAGGCUCUGAUCCGCACAUCAGCUUUCGAGAACGCCGCUUUCGUCGAGGUUGGAACAAGGGAGCACGACAAAACGACACGCACACACACACAACUAUAUAUAUAUAUAUAUACACACGCGGAUAGUUCAGCACAUACCCAUCAUACACGUACAACACACACAGAGACCUCCAAUGCGUCGCUUUCUUGUGUCCCGCUCCCUCCCGAGCGUCAUCCUCACCCGCCGUGCUCCAGCGGGCACGCAGGCAAGCCCUGCGACUGCCGCCAGCUCUGCUGCCGCUACCGCCGCCGCCGGUGCCGCAGCGGCCGCAAAGUCGACGGUAGCCGCCUACGACUUUCCCAAGGAUGUGCUGCGCAAUCGUUUGUGGCAGACGCACCAGGCAGGACGACACAUUACCGUCUACGUCGACUCGGGCUGCAUUGCGUGGAUCGUCAUGAACCGCGCCGAGUCGAGCGCCAACGCGUUGGGCGAGGAAUUUGUGAAGAACAUGAAUACAGCACUGGAUAUUGUGGAGUCUCUCGUUGCGAAGGGUGAAACCCAAUUCGCCAUCCUGGCGAGCGCCAAGUCGACGUUCUGCGUCGGCGCUGACAUUGACCAGAUGUACACCGUGACGGACCCAGCGGUGGCGGUGCAGGUGCCGACCGUGGGGCACAAGCUCUUCAAUCGCAUUGAGCAGGAGAAGUUCCCCAUAGUCGCUGCUAUCAACGGCCUCGCCCUCGGCGGCGGCUUUGAGAUGUCGCUUGCGUGCCAUCAGCGGCUAAUGGCCUCUACUGCGAAGGUGGGCUUUCCAGAGUGUCUGCUUGGUCUUCUGCCGGGCGGCGGUGGCACGGUGCGGACGCAGCGGCUGUGCGGGCUUACCAAGACGGUGCAGUGGAUCAUGACCUCGAAGCAGAUCAAGCCUCAGGAAGCCAAGUCGGCCGGCGCGUGUGACGUUAUCAUCCCCGCCGACGACCGGUGGAAUGGCGAGCACCGCUUCUACGAGGGUGUACGCAAGUGGGCUGGGCAGUACCUGUCCGACAAGCCCGCUCGCUUGUCGAAGCGGAAGAACAUUUCGAUGAUGGAUCGGGUGCUCGAGAGCACAACCUUCGGCCGCCGCAAGGUCGCCGACGAGACCAUCAAGAUGCUGAACAAGAAGACAAAGGGCAAGUACAUUGCGCAGUACAAGGCGCUGGAGUGCAUCAUGUACUCCGCCACACACAGCGACCAGCAGGGCUUUGACAAGGAGUGCCGCGGCUUCGCUGAGCUGCUGUGCAGCCCAGAGGCGAAGAACCAGAUGUCCCUGUACUUUCUGCAAGAGGGCAUGAAGAAGAGCGCGGACAAGACGGGCGUGCCCAAGGACACGGUGAUGCCCGUGAACCGCGUUGGUGUGAUUGGCGCCGGCGUCAUGGGCUCCGGCAUUGUGCACUACUUCGCCAAGAACAACAUCCCGGUGGCAGUGAAGGACUUGACAGAGGAGUCCGUGAAGCAGGGCAUCACCAACGUCCGUGCCGAGUUUGAGCGGGCCGUGCGUCGCAAGCGCAUGGUAACGGCAGAGCUGGACGGGAAGAUGGCCCUUGUGACGGGCGGCACCACCAACGAGGUCUUUCGUGGCGCGGACGUUAUUGUCGAGGCCGCCGUGGAGGUGAUGGACAUCAAGAAGAAGGUGAUUCAGCAGCUGGAAAAGGAUGGCAUCCUCCACUCCAAGAGCCUCUUCGCCACGAACACGUCCUCGCUGAGCUUGACGGAGAUGCAGACGGUGGCCAAGUGUCCGCACAACAUCGUUGGCAUGCACUUCUUCAACCCUGUAUCGAAGAUGCCGCUGGUGGAGGUCAUCAAGGGCAAGAGUACUUCGGCCGAGGCCGCGGCCGCCAUCUUCAACCUCGCCCUCAAGACGGGCAAGAUUCCAAUCAUCGUGAAAGAUGGCCCGGGAUUUCUGGUGAACCGCAUCCUCGGCGUAUACAUGGCAGAGGCCGGGCGGCUGGCGGUGGAUGAGCGGUGCCACCCAGCGUGUGUGGAUGAGGCUAUUCUGGCCUUUGGCAUGCCGAUGGGGCCCUUCCGCCUCUUGGAUGAGGUUGGCCUCGACGUCGCCUGUCACGUGGGGCCGGUACUGGCCAACGGCCUGAAGAGCGACCGCUUCAGCGUCAGCGCGACCAUCUCCCAGAUGGUCGCGGACGGCUACCUCGGCCGCAAGAACAAGAAGGGCUUCUACGCCUACGCGGCGGAAGGGAAGGAAACGGGGCUGAACAGCGCAGUCCUGCAAAAGUAUCUCGGCGCGGAGCUGAGCGCCUCCAUCUCCGAGACGGAGAUAGUGGACCGCUGCGUCUUGCUCAUGGUGAACGAAGCAACCCGCAUCCUCGACGAGGGGAUCGCGAUGUCGCCCGAGGAUGUUGACACGGGGAUGGUGUGGGGCACCGGCUUUCCGCCGUUCCGUGGCGGGUUGCUGCAGUACGCCGACCACCGCGGCAUCGCCAACGUUGUUGCGGCGCUGGAGCAACUACAGCGGAAGACGAAGCGAGACUACUUUGCCCCCACUGAGACACUGAAAAAGAUGGCCAUCGAGGGCAGGCGCUUCUUCCCGACUCGUCCGUACGUGCCGUACCAGGAGCGCCACGGAUACCCUAAGGUGACGUACUAGACGCCGUUCAAUCAUCAAGGGAACAGAGCUCACAAGCAGAGAGUGUGCCCAUGGCGAGCGCUGAGGCUCUCUCUCUCUGAGCACGGUGCCGCAUGUCUGUGCCUUUUCGCCCCUCCCUCACCCCCUGCGCCAAGAAGAGGCCCCAUAGCCACUUACGUAGGAGAGAGCGAAACAGAAAACAAAAAGAUCACCAGCACCUUCAUGUGUGUGUGUGUGUGUGUGAACGUUCUCACGUUGGGUGUGCUGAUAUCCUUUCCUCCUCUCGUCGGCUUUCUCCUUCUUCUGGGGACCUCGCUCUGACCGCCUAGAUCAUGAGGCGGGUGAUAGCGGACGAUGUUGCCCGGGAUAAGCAACAGAAAAAGAACAUAACGGAAAGGACGAGGGCAAAGAAGCGCACGCACGUAGCGCUGAUGAAGGGAUCUGCUUUGUUUGCUUUCCUUUUCAUGUGUGUUUGCUUCUCGGCUGAGGCAGGCACAAGCCCCUGCUGCACGUAUUCGCGAACGUAAAACGUGUGUUGGCGCACGUGUAUACGUCUGCGGAAGAGUAUUUGAAUAGGGGGAUGUCGCCAACGUCCGCGUGUACGCAGAGAGGUUCUGUGUGGCGAAACAAUCAGUGCGGCGUGUUGGCAGUGGCCCCUCGGUGUGCAAGCGCAACAACGCAUGUGCAGCAAUGAAGAGAGAGAGGAGGAAUAAGAGAAGGGGGUUCAAGAGCUCUUCCUGAAUCGGCUGUCUUUGUGCCGCCUUUUUCUUUCGCUUGUGUUCACGGCUUUCCCUCCCUCUCGCUCUUCGCGAACGUGAACGCGCUAUGUGUGCACACGCACAAAAACUCUCAGCCGGCUUCUGAAAUUGCUUAUCCCUCCCCCUUUUUUGCUUCACGUGCCGCCCUUUUUUUUUUUGCGACCCCCUCCCCCACUCUUUUCCAUGUCCCGCAUUCCGUGCUGUUUUUCCUGUUAUCCUCGCACAUGUAUUUCGCUCGUGUUGAUGACCCUCACUCUCUCUCGCCCCCCCCCCUCACUCUGCCUCUAUCACGCGUACGUAUGUGUCUGCAUGUCUGUACUUUUGUGUGCGUGCCUUUGCAGCAGCAAGCGCUGCCGUGAGGUCCUGAGUCGACGCCCCCUGGAGCUCUUCAAACGCCUCGAUAUCGCCGACACUCCUCCCUUCCCGUCCACUCCGUUUUUCUCUAUUCUUCGCCCCCUACGCAUCUUCCUUGAUGCCGCCAUUAUGUGUUGAUGGCUUUGUUGGAGGGAAUGGGCGUGUCACUUCUUUGGUUGGCUUGCUCACGCGCCGAUGUGGAAGACAGGCUGGUUGGUUGGCAGAAGGUACACGCACGUUGCGCAUGGCAGCAUUACACUGUGGGCGUGGGUGUCGCAGAUGUCCCCUCUGUUUGCUGUUGUUAAGUUGUUGCUCUCCUUUCUUGCUUGCGUGCCGCCGACGGCUUCGUUGCUGUUGCUUUGGCUGUUUGCUCCCUAUGGCCCCUCCCUCCCUCCCUCCCCCCUCGCCACCUUCCUGUGUGUGUACGCGUGUGUGUGCGUGUGUGUGUGUGUGUUGAUGAUGGUGUGGGUAUCGGUGUCGUUGGCGACGCCGCUCUUCAGCAUAAGACCAGCAUGGCCGUGACAAGAGCUAUUUUCUUGUGUGUGUUCCUUCGCUGUUGUUCUCGUUUCUGUUUGUCUCCGCCCCUCCCCCCUCUCCUUCACUUCUCUGCGAACGCGUCUUUCAGGGGUUACCCGUUGAACCGCCACCACAAGCAUGUGUUACACUACAGCACCCCCAUCGCUUCCCCCCUCCCAUGCCCCACCACAGCAAUCUAUAUGUGUGUGUGCGCGUGCGUGGAAGAGGGAAGAGGGAGCAACAGACCGCCGGGCCAAGGAAGGGUAGGCGGGGAGGGAGACACGCGG